GACGAACGCUGGCGGCGUGCCUAAUACAUGCAAGUCGAACGCAGUGGGGACGGGUGAGUAACACCUGGGUAACCUCCCCUCUGAGGGGUUAACACUUGGAAACAGGUGCUAAACCGAUACUGAUGGCUCGACCCGCGGUGCAUUAGCUAGUUGGUGAGGUAACGGCUCACCAAGGCCACGAUGCAUAGCCGACAUGAGAGGGGGAUCGGCGACACUGGGACUGAGACACGGCCCAGAAUCCUACGGGAGGCAGGAGUAGGGAAUGUUGGGCAAUGGACGAAAGGCUGACGGAGCAACGCCGCGUGAGUGAAGAAGGUUUGCGGAGCGUAAAACACUGUUGGUAGAGAAGCGGUAUCUAACGAGAAAGCCACGGCUAACUACGUGCCAGCAGCCGCGGUAAUUC
rnacentral:rRNA from 1 species